AGAUUGAACGCUGGCGGCAGGCCUAACACAUGCAAGUCGAGCGGCAGCACGGGUACUUGUACCUGGUGGCGAGCGGCGGACGGGUGAGUAAUGCCUAGGAAUCUGCCUGGUAGUGGGGGGAUAACGCUCGGAAACGGACGCUAAUACCGCAUACGUCCUACGGGAGAAAGCAGGGGACCUUCGGGCCUUGCGCUAUCAGAUGAGCCUAGGUCGGAUUAGCUAGUUGGUGAGGUAAUGGCUCACCAAGGCGACGAUCCGUAACUGGUCUGAGAGGAUGAUCAGUCACACUGGAACUGAGACACGGUCCAGACUCCUACGGGAGGCAGCAGUGGGGAAUAUUGGACAAUGGGCGAAAGCCUGAUCCAGCCAUGCCGCGUGUGUGAAGAAAGGUCUUCGGAUUGUAAAGCACUUUAAGUUGGAGGAAGGCAGUUACCUAAUACGUAUCUGUUUUGACGUUACCGACAAGAAUAAAGCACCGGCUAACUCUGUG
rnacentral:rRNA from 1 species